rnacentral:rRNA from 1 species
UACGGAGGAUGCAAGCGUUAUCCGGAUUCAUUGGGUUUAAAGGGUGCGUAGGCGGACUAUUAAGUCAGUGGUGAAAGCCUGCAGCUUAACUGCAGAACUGCCAUUGAUACUGAUAGUCUUGAGUUUGGUUAAGGUAGGCGGAAUGUGUAAUGUAGCGGUGAAAUGCAUAGAUAUGUCGUGGAAUACCGAUUGCGAAGGCAGCUAACUGGGUCUUGAUUGACGCUGAGGCACGAAAGCGUGGGGAGCGAACA